GACGAACGCUGGCGGCGUGCUUAACACAUGCAAGUCGAACGGAAAGGCCCUGCUUUUGUGGGGUGCUCGAGUGGCGAACGGGUGAGUAACACGUGAGUAACCUGCCCUUGACUUUGGGAUAACUUCAGGAAACUGGGGCUAAUACCGGAUAGGAGCUCCUGCUGCAUGGGGGGGGUUGGAAAGUUUCGGCGGUUGGGGAUGGACUCGCGGCUUAUCAGCUUGUGGGUGGGGUAGUGGCUUACCAAGGCUUUGACGGGUAGCCGGCCUGAGAGGGUGACCGGCCACAUUGGGACUGAGAUCCGGCCCAGACUCCUACGGGAGGCAGCAGUGGGGAAUAUUGCACAAUGGGCGGAAGCCUGAUGCAGCAACGCCGCGUGCGGGAUGACGGCCUUCGGGUUGUAAACCGCUUUCGCCUGUGACGAAGCGUGAGUGACGGUAAUGGGUAAAGAAGCACCGGCUAACUACG
rnacentral:rRNA from 1 species